UACGAAGGGGGCUAGCGUUGCUCGGAAUCACUGGGCGUAAAGGGUGCGUAGGCGGGUCUUUAAGUCAGGGGUGAAAUCCUGGAGCUCAACUCCAGAACUGCCUUCGAUACUGCGGGUCUCGAGUCCGGGAGAGGUGAGUGGAAUUCCUAGUGUAGAGGUGAAAUUCGUAGAUAUUAGGAAGAACACCGAUGGCGAAGGCAGCCAUCUGGACCGACACUGACGCUGAGGCGCGAAAGCGUGGGGAGCAAACAGG
rnacentral:rRNA from 1 species